rnacentral:rRNA from 1 species
UACGUAGGGUGCAAGCGUUGUCCGGAAUUAUUGGGCGUAAAGAGCUCGUAGGUCGCUGUCGCGUCGGCUGUGAAAACUGGGAGCACACCGUCAGCUGCAGUCGAUACGGGCGGCUAGUGAUCGUCAGGGGAGACUGGAAUUCCUGGUGUAGCGGUGAAAUGCGCAGAUAUCAGGAGGAACACCGGUGGCGAAGGCGGGUCUC